UACGUAGGGGGCAAGCGUUGUCCGGAAUCAUUGGGCGUAAAGCGCGUGUAGGCGGUUCGAUAAGUCUGUCGUGAAAGCCCCGGGCUCAACCCUCGAAUGCCGGUGGAUACUGUCGGACUAGAGUACGGAAGAGGCGAGUGGAAUUCCUGGUGUAGCGGUGAAAUGCGCAGAUAUCAGGAGGAACACCAAUUGCGAAGGCAGCUCGCUGGGACGUUACUGACGCUGAGACGCGAAAGCGUGGGGAGCAAACAGG
rnacentral:rRNA from 1 species